ACACGUCUCAGAGCGAGCGACAUUGCACGAAACAAAAGAAUGUAUUUUUAACAAUGCCAUAGUAGUUUUCAAAACUAGAACGUUUGUUGCAUCCAAGUUUUAGAACAUCAGUUAAUUCUUUUGUUGCCAGAAGCACUGCCCCCUCCCCCUCCCUAUAUAUGCUUAUCCAGUAUUGCCAUCACUCGCUUAAACAAAAAGGAAAUGCCAUCACCUGGGUCCUAGGCCUAUACGCCAUAGAGAUAAGUUAAGAGAUAAAAAAAAAAUCUUGGACAUAGCAUAUUAACAAUAGCAAAUAGUACUCCUAUUAUCUUAUUUCUCUGUACAUCACAAAUUGUUAGUCUAGUCACUGAAUUUUUAAUGAUUUUUCAAAUCCCC
rnacentral:lncRNA from 1 species